rnacentral:rRNA from 1 species
GUAGGGAAUCUUCCGCAAUGGACGAAAGUCUGACGGAGCAACGCCGCGUGAGUGAUGAAGGCUUUCGGGUCGUAAAACUCUGUUGUUAGGGAAGAACAAGUGCUAGUUGAAUAAGCUGGCACCUUGACGGUACCUAACCAGAAAGCCACGGCUAACUACGUGCCAGCAGCCGCGGUAAUACGUAGGUGGCAAGCGUUAUCCGGAAUUAUUGGGCGUAAAGCGCGCGCAGGUGGUUUCUUAAGUCUGAUGUGAAAGCCCACGGCUCAACCGUGGAGGGUCAUUGGAAACUGGGAGACUUGAGUGCAGAAGAGGAAAGUGGAAUUCCAUGUGUAGCGGUGAAAUGCGUAGAGAUAUGGAGGAACACCAGUGGCGAAGGCGACUUUCUGGUCUGUAACUGACACUGAGGCGCGAAAGCGUGGGGAGCAAACAGGAUUAGAAACCCGGGUAGUCC